GCGGGUGUAGUUCAAUGGUAGAAUUCCAGCCUUCCAAGCUGGCAGCGUGGGUUCGAUUCCCAUCACCCGCUCCA
rnacentral:tRNA from 2 species